rnacentral:rRNA from 1 species
UACAGAGGUCUCAAGCGUUUGUUCGGAUUCAUUGGGCGUAAAGGGUGCGUAGGCGGCGCGGUAAGUCGGGUGUGAAAUCUCGGAGCUUAACUCCGAAACUGCAUUCGAUACUGCCGUGCUUGAGGACUGGAGAGGAGACUGGAAUUUACGGUGUAGCGGUGAAAUGCGUAGAUAUCGUAAGGAAGACCAGUGGCGAAGGCGGGUCUCUGGACCGAGACUGACGCUGAGGCGCGAAAGCGUGGGGAGCAAACAGG